rnacentral:tRNA from 1 species
UCGAGAAAGACAUAGUGGUUAUGAUAUUGGCUUGAAACCAAUCCUAGGGGGUUCGACUCCUUCCUUUCUUACUAC